AUUAAUAAUAAAAGAAAAAUGGGAACAUGUAUAAGGUUUAGCGUUUCAAUAUUAAUAUAUAACAUUAAUAGUAUUUAAACUGAGUGCGGGUACUAAGACCGCCCACUGCGUAAAAUAUUAACCAAUUAACAGCUUACCUCAUAGGAUUCCCUGGGACCAGCCACUGCACCAAAUCUUAACAAAUUAGCAGUCAAGAUAGGCGGAGCUCUAAGCUUUCCUAUGCUAGGGGAUCUCAUUCUCCGGUUGGUGGCUGAACGUGCAGGAUAUCUCUCCAGCUAGGCGCUGAGAAACGGAGCUAAACACUAUAAAUUUGAGAGUUUGCGAUUGGGAGUGACCUCUGGAGGAGGUGCAGACGAUAGAGGAAAAUCAGCUGACCAGAGCGACACACGGAGUGAGGCUGCUGACGUCAGUGUGUGCAGCGUCUGCUCUCCUUUAAGGCCAGUGCGGCCUAUCCACAAAUUCUCUCCACUUGUAUUCUAAGACCAAGUGAUGUACUCAACUGUAGUCCACAGUAACAUGACCACUACACCCUGACUGACACUGGCGAUAACACUGAAUAUGCUACCGUCAAAAUCAAUUAUCCAUCCCACCCAAGGCAAAUGGAAAAAUGCAUUUCAUUUUCUGUGAAUUUUUUUCAGCAC
ensembl:lncRNA